AUUUGUGCUGCUCCAGGAUAGCGCUUGCUUUUGAUAUAUAGCCUAUUCCACAUAGAAUUUUUAGAGCUACCUGUAGCAAGGUUUUUAUCUCCAAAAAGCCAUUUUGCAACCAGUUAGAGGUACACAAAGUCGCCUGUUUUUGAAACACUUUAUCUUUCGUAAAACACUCAAGCUUCAUUGUAUCAAUAUGCAACUCAAGAACAAAAUGAGUCUCUCAGAGGGGGAAAAGAUGGUUUUUUUAGUUAAAGAGUGACGCGGCUACUAACGCAUGCAUUGAUUUACUGAACAAAAAAUAUUAAUAAAAAGCAUAAACAUUGGUUAAUAUUGUGUGUGAGUUUUGUUUCCAUGAAUUGUAUUCUCUUGGAGUUAUUCAAGAAUAAAGCAAGAAAAUCUCA
rnacentral:lncRNA from 1 species